UAGACAGCAUGAAGCCUUUCUUCCUCGCUUGUCUGUCUGUACGGACCCUGAUGACAGUGAAGUCUGGAGGCAGUGUUUUUGAACAUCUUUCAGCCUGGCCACUCUCUUAAGGGAGUCCUCUGACUUGAAGAGUGCACACAGGUGAACCAUCCCAUCUCCUGUUGACACACAUCUCCCCAGAGGACGGUCCAUCCUCGCAGAGCUCGAUGUCCUCCUCUCUCUUAGCUUAAAACUGCCCCUCCACACCCUCGCCCACAUCAGCCUUUUUACAGCCUCCGUCACCGCGCAGUGCACUUUGCCUUUAAAGCCGAGAAUCUGCCUCAGACUGCCGCUCCACCCAGCGCUGCCAUCUCCCAGCCAGGGAGUCUGUGAGAGCAUG